CAGUCGCCACGGUAAUACGAAGGGGGCUAGCGUUGUUCGGAAUUACUGGGCGUAAAGCGCACGCAGGCGGCUCGAUAAAUUAGAAGUGAAAGCCUUGGGCUUAACCUGAGAAUUGCUUUUAAGACUGUCGAGCUAGAAUCCAGAAGAGGGUAGUGGAAUUCCGAGUGUAGAGGUGAAAUUCGUAGAUAUUCGGAAGAACACCAGUGGCGAAGGCGACUACCUGGUCUGGCAUUGACGCUCAUGUGCGAAAGCGUGGGGAGCAAACAGGAUUAGAUACCCCCGUAGUCCCUGUCUCUUAUAC
rnacentral:rRNA from 1 species